ACGUGGUUUCCGGUUAACACCGAAAGCUCGAAUACAGGUCUACCGGCUAACAUAUUUUAGCGAAAUUUGACCAGAUUAUUGCAAGAAUGGUUGACUACGGGUCAGGUCCUAUUAAAGAAAGUAUAGACAAUAGUGUAUUUAUAGUUCCUGGCAUUAUCAUUGGCGCUUUAUUUGCAUUUUUUGCCUAUAAGUUGAUAAAAAGUCUCAGAGACAAAGAAAGAAUGAAACAAGAAAAAAAGGAAUUAAAGGAAAAACGGAAAGAGAAAGAUCAAGCCAAAAGAACAAAAAAGAAAUGAGUUGCCUCCCCUUUUAGGAUAUUUAAAUUAAUUUCAUUGGAUGGAAAUAUCAUAUAUGAUUAAAUGGAUGGACAAAUGUGAAAAAAAGCAACUAAGUGCAAUUUGACUGUGAAGAAUUUUAUAAUUGAAGUCAGAAAAAUGAUUGAAUUUUGUAGAAAUUUAAAUUUUUAUUGAUUUUUAUGACAGAUGUAAAGAUGGUUAAAGAAAUUGACAUUAUUAAGAUAAUUUUGUGUAUAAAUGAUAGUAUAUAGAAUUAGUACAUUUGUUAGUAUGUAUGAUGUAACUUAACUAUUCUGGUUUAUAAAGAUAAAACUAAAAAAGAAUUAGCAUAACAUUAUUCUGGUCUUUGGUCAGUUAUAAGUCAGAAUUAUUCCAACUGCUUAGUCAGGUUAUACAUGUAUAUAAAAGGAAAGAAACAAUUUAUUUUGAUAAAGCAUUGUAAUAGUAAAAUUAAAAUGAUUUAAGCCAGAAAUAAUAAAUAUAUUGAUGUCAAAAUUGUUGCAGUCAAAUAAAAAUAAUUUUAUUUGGAAUUGUUAUGGAAAAUUAAAAGGAGCAGAAUUAAUUAACACCUGAUUUAAAGCUAGAUAUAAACUUUGCUUAUGAAAAAGCUAUCACUGUCAGAUUAAUGACCAGUGUUAGUUUAUAGUAAUGACAAAGUUGUUAUGGUCAGAGUAAAGUCCAGAAUAAAUACAGUAUUGUUGAUAAUUAGUUUAUUAUAAUGUUUCUGCUGGUGAAUAGGUAACGCCAAAAGAUGCUUGUAAACUUUGUUUUAAGAUGACAUGGAGUCACUUUUUGUCUUUUUACAACAAUAAAUGUUUCUGAAAUUUAAUUUUACUGUCAGUCAUUUAAUUUAUUUUUUAUCAUGUGUUGAUUUAACCAUAAACAUGAUAAAGUUGCUAAACAUAAAUUUCAAAGUAUUAUAUAUGGAUACAAGAGUAGGUGCAGUGUUUUUCAUUUUCAACAUUAUUUUCAAAGUAUUAUAAAUGGAUACAAGAGUAAUAACAGUGUUUUUCAUUUUAAACAUUAUUUUCGAAGUUAUUAUAAACAUGAUAAAUGGAUACAAGAGUAGGUGCAGUGUUUUUCAUUUUAAUCAUUUGAAUGGAAUGAGAAUAAUAUUUUGAAGUAUUUACCAAAAGUUUGAUGAUCAUAGCUUAAAUUAAGAAAGCCUACUGAUCUAAUUGUGAUUGAAGUAUUUACCAAAAGUUUGAUGAUCAUAGCUUAAGAAAGCAUACUGAUCUAAUUGUGAUUGAAGUAUUUACCAAAAGUUUGAUGAUCAUAGCUUAAGAAAACAUACUGAUCUAAUUGUGAUUGAAGUAUUUCAUGUUCAUUAUUUGUUGUAUUACAAACUGAAAUACUCAGCAAAGAAUGGUCUAUUCCAGCAUUGACUUUUAUUUUAUAUUGACAUUGAUCAAUAGAUAGUUGUCAUUUGACAUAAUUUGAGUUAGAGUUAUCUCCCUUUGUCACCAUGGUGUAGGGCAAGGUACAGUUCCUUCACGAGUCAGCACAAUUUAGAUUAUAAUACUGACGAGUAGGCUUUAGAAAAAGUUAUUUUCAUUUGUUUUAUUUGUGUUCAAUUCAUCACUAAGGAAUUUUUAUCAGUCUUGCUUGAAUCACAUGUUCAAAUUUGGUUGGUAAAAGAAAAAAAAUAAUCAGUUGUCCUACAACAUGGUCGCCAAAGUGAAAUAACACCAAGUUAAAUUAUGUCAAUGGAAAUACAUCUAUAUCAACCUUUAAUUUUGAUUGGUCUGUAUGUAAUUAUAAAAAUAAGAUGUAGUUCAUUUAUCAUUUUAUUAAAUAGCGAAACCAUAGCAACUAAGUUAUCUCCUUUUUAUUCAUUAAUUUAUUGAAAGAAAAUUUUGAAAUGAUCAGUUCCUGAAUUAUUAUGUAGUUUUAUUUGACCAUUGUAUUUUUAAAUGAUCAGUUUCCAUGGUUACUGAAUUAUUAUAUACAGUUUUAUAUGACCAAUGUUUUUUAAAGAUAUUACUGCCAUAGGUAUUUGCCAUAUAUAUUUGCCAUUGAAUUUAAUGUAAAGAAUUAUCAUUUGUGAGUUGUCUCCAAAAUAAUCACCAGCUGAAAAGAGAAAUUGAUAUUUAACAGAGUUGUCUCCCAUUUUUAAGACAACAUUGAAUUGCCUCCCUUACAUCUACUUAAUUAUAUUUCCCACCAUUUGGUUAUUGGAGGAUAGUAAUGGAAAUUGUUUUUCAAUUCAACUCUUCAGAAUUUUUACAAACUAGCACAUCAAAACAGAAAAAUAUCAUAAUCAAGGGAAAUUAGACCAAUGAGUGAUAUAAUUUCAUUUUUAGUACUACCUUGAAAUUACCCAUGGUCCUUUAAGAUUCUGUAAUGGAUAGUCCAAGUACUAGAUCAAAUUCUUUAAAUUUUAUAGUGGUUCUGGCGCAGUAAAAAUGGUGCUGUUAAUGUUACUCUAGGUUAAAAAAGUGGUUAUGACAAACCAUGAUUAAAACUUGCAGCCUAUUUUUAUGGUUCAGUUGUAAAAUAGUGUAUAAUGCCAACUAUAGUAUUAGUAAUGAUCUCACAGGAAAAUGUUUUUUGACUAAUUAAUUUUACAUUCCAAUUCAAACCACCGUAGAAAUUUACUUGCAUAAACUAUUAUUUAAGAAUAAAGACACAACGGCUGACAGAAUUCUAAAGCUAGGGUGUUACAUCACAAACCUAAAUGAUCAUAUGAUUAAAUGAUCACAUGACCAAAUGAUCACAUGAUUAAAUGAUCACAUGACCAAAUGAUCACAUGAUUAAAUGAUCACAUGACCAAAUGAUCACAUGAGAAUCUCAUAAAUAAAAACAGCACUGCUGAAAGAAUACUUAAGAUUGCAUGAAAAUCUCUGUUCCGGUUUCAGUCUAAAUUAACACUUUAAAAGCAAGAAAUAGUUCCAGUUGAAAUUUGUAUUUUCAUAUUUUUUUGCAAUCGGAAACCUGCUGGCAAUAUUUUAGUAUAUAUAUAGUAAAGCUAAAUGAAAAUGAAUAACAGUUUGUUUCAAAAAAAGAAUAAAAUGAGGGAAAAAAUGUAGAUUCAAACUUUUUUCUCAGAAAAAUGGCCAGCUGGUCAACCCUGCAUAUAACUUUUAAUUCUCAAGCCUCAAUAAAUGAGUCCUAAGUAACAUGCUAAGUGGAUUUUAAUCCACUUUUUUAUGUGCCACAUAUUUACUUUGGCCAUUAUAAGACACACAGGAAUUUAAUUACUUUUGCCACUAUGUAUACCACACAGGAAAUUAAUUAGUUUGGUCGCUAUGUAUGCCAGACAGGAAUUAAAUUAUUUCGGCCUCUGUAUAUCUCACACAGGAAUUCAAUUACUUUAGCCCCUGCAUGCCACUUAAGAAUUCAAUUACUUUGGCCAUUGUAUGCCACACAGGAAUUCAGUUGCUUUGGCCCCCUGUAGGCCACACAGAAAUUCAAUAACUCUGGCCAUUGUAUGCCACACAGAAAUUCAAUUGCUUUGGCCGCUAUGUAUGCCACACAGGAAUUCAAUUACUUUGGUCCCUUCAUGCCCCACAGGAAUUUGAUUAUUUGGCCCCGGUAUGCUGCACAUCAAUUCAAUUACUUUGGCAGCAGUAAGCCCCAUAGAAAUUUGAUUAUUUUUGCCAUCUGUAUGCCACACAGGAAAUCAAUUAAGCUGCGGUAAGCCACCCAGGAAUUCAAUUACUUAAGCUGCAGUAAACCACACAAGAAUUCAAUUAAUUUUGUGGCUGUAUGCCACACAGGAACUCAUUUGCUUCAUGUACAAUACCAGUAAUGUUUUAGUGAAGGUGAAUAAUCGUGUAUUGUUUAAGUCAGAUCAGUUAUAUUUUAGUCAGAUGGUAUACAGAUUCAGAAUGUUUUAAUAAUUGUAUGUUGCAUAUUUAUAAAUGUAUCACAAUGAUCACCAUUUAUUACAAUAAAACUGUUCAGUUUGGUGAA